CCUACGGGAGGCAGCAGUGGGGAAUAUUGGACAAUGGGGGGAACCCUGAUCCAGCCAUGCCGCGUGUGUGAAGAAGGCCCUCGGGUUGUAAAGCACUUUCAGUGAGGAAGAACGCCUGGUGGUUAAUACCCAUCAGGAAAGACAUCACUCACAGAAGAAGCACCGACUAACUCCGUGCCAGCAGCCGCGGUAAUACGGAGGGUGCGAGCGUUAAUCGGAAUUACUGGGCGUAAAGCGCGCGUAGGUGGCUUGAUAAGCCGGUUGUGAAAGCCCCGGGCUCAACCUGGGAACGGCAUCCGGAACUGUCAAGCUAGAGUGCAGGAGAGGAAGGUAGAAUUCCCGGUGUAGCGGUGAAAUGCGUAGAGAUCGGGAGGAAUACCAGUGGCGAAGGCGGCCUUCUGGACUGACACUGACACUGAGGUGCGAAAGCGUGGGUAGCAAACAGGAUUAGAUACCCGAGUAGUC
rnacentral:rRNA from 1 species